UCAAUCUACCCAAGAGAGAGAGAGAGAGAGAGAGAGAGAGUUAGGUUUAGCCUAGGGUUUAUUUACCUUCAACUUUCCUUACACCAGCCUCGAAUCACCACCCCAUGCCUACGAUCGAUCGACCACCAACCCUCUUUCCACUUUUCUCCCCACUCCUCACCAUGAACAACGAUCAGCAGUCAUUUUUUCCUUCCAUCCCACCGUGAACGAUUUCUUUCUUCCUUGAAUUCAAGGUUUAUUUCUCUUACACAUGUUCGUAGCUCACAUGCCACAUUGCUAUCACUAUUCCCUCUCUAUCUCGACCCUCACGCCACCGUGAUGACCUAGCUACCACGUCUUUAUCAAAUCCAUGGUUGCCUUUCUCAAAUCUUGAACAUUUAUUCCCCAUGCCAUCGUGAUCAUCGUUCCGUCCCAGCCCCAAACCCCUACGCUAUUGCGAUGACCUAGCCUCCACGAUUUUUCUAAAUCCAUGGCUAAAUUCCUCAAAUCCAAAGGACCCAAAUCCAUGGUCACUACAAAUAGAGAUCGAAACUAGUGACCAUAGCAAUUUGAAGCUAUUUAACACCAAAUCCAAACCGCAAAUUGAUCGUCGUCGCUGCUACAUGCUCUCUCUCUCUCUCUCAAGAAUCACGUGCAAGAAUCACAAAGCGUGCGAACGCACAUCCACCCGUGCGGCAGCAGUUCGACUGUGCGGCUGAGGCACAAGGUGUGUUGCCGGAUGGACCACGUGCGGCUGCCCAAAGCGAGUUUGUGGGCCUCACAUUGGUUCAUCUGUAAAUCUGAUUUCAAGAUGGUUUUUUUUUUCACUUGUGUGCAUUUAAUCAACCUUAGAAUGAAUUUUUGAACUAAACUUUGAUCUUUAUUUUUUGAAAACAAAUAUUUUCGCACUCGAGGCUAGUUUGAUGCACAAAUAGGGGAUCCACCUCUUAUUUUUGGAAAGAAUUAAUUUUGGAAAAACAGGCUAGGCUAUUGAAAACGAGGGAUUGACAGUCUCAUUUCCGAACCAAAAGCAAUACCGCACUAAUGUGAUUAUUUAAUCAUUAGACAGUACUUGGGGUACCAAAGUCUUAAAGGCUAGUUAAAAUGGGUGUUUACACACAUUCUCAUAACUUCCACUAUCAAUAAUCAUGUUGCAAACUCGACUUCCAAUGUUGCAAGUAGUGUUGAAAAUGUUGGUACACAACCAAUCCUCCUCACUUUUUUGCUUAGGCGUAAGAAGAGUUCUCUUGAUCAUGAGAGCAAGUCCUUCUUCGACAUCUAGACUUGUUUCCUCAUUAGAUGGUUGGUCAUAGAUUGGAAUAUCAUCAUCACAACUUUGUUCCAUUACUUCCUCAAGAAGGAGCUUCUUAUUUCAGUUGUUGCCCAAAGUCUUAUGACCCGGUUGUCCACACUUGAAGCACGUAAAGUCACCGCUGUAGGGAUGAUUUUGGCUCCUCGAAGCAUCCUUCGCAUUGAUUUUGCGCCGGGAUAGCUUUAUCCAAGUUUGUCGAAGGACUAGCCUUAGCAAAGCUAGGAGUAGAUUGGCUUGGCCUAAAACCACCUUGGAAGUGUUGUCAUGUCCUAUAUAGACACCUUGGCUUUAUUGCUUCUCAACCGCAAAACCUCUAUUGUAAACCUCCAAGAUGGACCAUAAAAUGUGAAAAUCAAGUACAUCUCGAAUGGAAAGCUUCAACCGCUUAUGUAUCUUGCAACCAUUUACUCUUCGAUCUGAUUGAGAUCAACUCUUGCAACAAGUUGAAAAAGGCUUCUGUAUAUUGCUCAACACUACCAAAUUGCUUAAGGUUAUGCAAGCGCUUGUACAAAGUUUGCAUAUAAUUGAAAGGCAAGAAUUGCUCUUUGAGCUUCUUCUUCACUUUCUCCCAAUCUUGAAUUUUUCCCUUGCCUUUUUGUUGUCUACUCACUUGCAAUUGUCCCAUCAAGUGGAAACUCCCCCUUGAGGCGUAUAGACACCAUUUUUACCUUUUUCCAUCUGAAACAUCAUAAUUCAAAUAUUCAUUCAGUAGUGUUUGUCCAAUCCAAAAACUCAUCCGAAUUGAGACUUCCAUGGAAUUCGGGGAGCUCAACGAUCUUGUUGUUCUCCCAUAUUAUUCUUAUUGGUCUAAUUUCAUGAACAAUUUUUUACUUGGUAAAGGAAAGUGGGGUUAUAUUACAGGUUUAGAAGCCCACGGAUCCUAAUGUUGAAGGAUUUAAAAAAUCUUUUACAACUUGGGAGAUGAAAAAUGCACAGGAACUUACUUGGUUGUACAACUCUGUGGAACCAAUAUUAGUAUGAAUUUUUUCAAAUAUGACACAGUAAAUAAGGUGUGAUUUUAUUUGAAAAGGUCAUCUAUCUUGAGUCUAAGUUUGUCAACCAAUAUGAAGUGGAGAUGUCCAUUUAAAGUGCCACACAGAAUGACAAAUCAAUUAGCACUUAUGGAAGCAUUUGAUUUGCAUUUUCUAUAUAGCUAUGUGAACUAGAGAGAGAAUAGAGGCUGGUGCAAUUACUUAUCCCUCUUGGAGACCGGUUUGAUUUGAGCCUCUUUUAGGUGCUCCUUCACCGGUCUCCAUUGCUUUCAUUUGGUGGAGCGGUUUGAGAACUUAUUGCAGAGGAAACAAGAUUUAAGGUGGAAUAGAUUGCAUUCCUCUCUCGGUCGGUGUUUGUCGCUCCUGCUCCUCAACCUCCACUGUUACCUACCUAGUUUGCUCAUCUUACUCAAGUUACAAGAAAUCCAAAACUGUCUUUCUAUUGAUGAGUGCAACUUUUGUCAUGAGAAAGUACAUUGGAAUAACACGUGCUCCAAACCUGCAUUUUGGAAGAGACUCACUUUUUGCAAUUGUCUUCACUGCUACCUUUUCAGGCAUCUUCUUGCCCUUCAGGUGCAUUUAUAGUACCUACCUCUAGCAUUGUUUCACCUUUCACAAGGUAGUCUAUGUUUGAGCAACUACAUUAUAUGCUUGCAUGCUUUUUAGUGCAUCAUGCUUUUGCUAUGUCCAUUACAAUUCCAGGCUCAAGUGCCAUGUCAAAUAGACUAGACGCAGCAUGUCUGUCCUUGCUUUGCAAGUGAAGAAAUGUAUAUAUUUGUUUUUAAUACUAACCAUUAUAUCUAUUGCACCUUAUAGGCUUACAGGUUAGCCAAAACUUGGUAUUUGAAGCAUGCAUACUGAUGGGAAUUAUGUACCUUUUACAAAUUCUAAUGUAAGCAUGGGAUGUGGGUGACAAUAAUGAAUGAUUUUGUGAUCACAUUUUCGUGGAUACUCUUCUAGGCUGACAAUUAUCUUAUUUUGACUAGAAACUUGUGGCUUGUACUCAAGGUAAAUGCAAUGAAAUGAAAAACGAAAAGUGGUCCUUUAAGAUCAUGAAAGUAAACUUUGCAGAAGAUGGAGGGCUGUUUUCUAAAGAUUACCUUGACCUCAGAACAUGGGUUUGCCAAUUGGGUGAUGUUCCCAAGCUUUUCUCAUGUUUGAUCAUAUUGUAAGUUGAGUGAUGAGGCCUUGAAGGCAUACAGUGAACUCUAUCAACAGAGAGGGGCUUUCUGCAACCUAAACAUUUGGUGAUAUGUAAGUUGCAAGGUACUGUCUCCGAGGUUUGACCCGGAAUCUUUCCACUUAUUUUUGAAAACACAAGUUUCUGGUCGUUACCUCAGCCACAUGAAUGAUUUUUAUUUUUUAUGUUUUCUCACUUAUCUCUUUUGUUAAUUACGACCCAAGAGUUGUGUAAUAAAGUAGGUAUUCUAUUUGAUGAAUGGAGCAAAUUGGGAGUGCUGGCAAACUCAUUUUUCA